GCGGUGCCUUCCGAGUUCCCUGGAACGGGACGCCUUAGAGGGUGAGAGCCCCGUACGGUUGGACACCAAGCCUCUGUAAAGCUCCUUCGACGAGUCGAGUAGUUUGGGAAUGCUGCUCUAAAUGGGAGGUAAAUUUCUUCUAAAGCUAAAUAUUGGCCAGAGACCGAUAGCGCACAAGUAGAGUGAUCGAAAGAUGAAAAGCACUUUGAAAAGAGGGUUAAAUAGCACGUGAAAUUGUUGAAAGGGAAGCGUUUGCGACCAGACCUCUCCCCGGCGGAUCAUCCGGCGUUCUCGCCGGUGCACUCCGCCGGGCUGAGGCCAGCAUCGGUUCCCGCGGGGGGACAAAAGCGGGGGGAACGUAGCUCCCUCGGGAGUGUUAUAGCCCUCCGCAUAAUACC
rnacentral:rRNA from 2 species